GACGAACGCUGUCGGCGUGCUUAACACAUGCAAGUCGAACGGAAAGGCCCUGCUUUUGUGGGGUGCUCGAGUGGCGAACGGGUGAGUAACACGUGAGUAACCUGCCCUUGACUUUGGGAUAACUUCAGGAAACUGGGGCUAAUACCGGAUAGGAGCUCCUGCUGCAUGGUGGGGGUUGGAAAGUUUCGGCGGUUGGGGAUGGACUCGCGGCUUAUCAGCUUGUUGGUGGGGUAGUGGCUUACCAAGGCUUUGACGGGUAGCCGGCCUGAGAGGGUGACCGGCCACAUUGGGACUGAGAUACGGCCCAGACUCCUACGGGAGGCAGCAGUGGGGAAUAUUGCACAAUGGGCGGAAGCCUGAUGCAGCAACGCCGCGUGCGGGAUGACGGCCUUCGGGUUGUAAACCGCUUUCGCCCGUGACGAAGCGUGAGUGACGGUAAUGGGUAAAGAAGCACCGGCUAACUACGUGCCAGCAGCCGCGGUGAUACGUAGGGUGCGAGCGUUGUCCGGAUUUAUUGGGCGUAAAGGGCUCGUAGGUGGUUGAUCGCGUCGGAAGUGUAAUCUUGGGGCUUAACCCUGAGCGUGCUUUCGAUACGGGUUGACUUGAGGAAGGUAGGGGAGAAUGGAAUUCCUGGUGGAGCGGUGGAAUGCGCAGAUAUCAGGAGGAACACCAGUGGCGAAGGCGGUUCUCUGGGCCUUUCCUGACGCUGAGGAGCGAAAGCGUGGGGAGCGAACAGGCUUAGAUACCCUGGUAGUCCACGCUGUAAACGGUGGGUACUAGGUGUGGGGUCCAUUCCACGGGUUCCGUGCCGUAGCUAACGCUUUAAGUACCCCGCCUGGGGAGUACGGCCGCAAGGCUAAAACUCAAAGGAAUUGACGGGGCCCCGCACAAGCGGCGGAGCAUGCGGAUUAAUUCGAUGCAACGCGUAGAACCUUACCUGGGUUUGACAUGGAUCGGGAGUGCUCAGAGAUGGGUGUGCCUCUUUUGGGGUCGGUUCACAGGUGGUGCAUGCCUGUCGUCAGCUCGUGUCGUGAGAUGUUGGGUUAAGUCCCGCAACGAGCGCAACCCUUGUUCACUGUUGCCAGCACGUUAUGGUGGGGACUCAGUGGAGACCGCCGGGGUCAACUCGGAGGAAGGUGGGGAUGACGUCAAGUCCUCAUGCCCCUUAUGUCCAGGGCUUCACGCAUGCUACAAUGGCUGGUACAGAGAGUGGCGAGCCUGUGAGGGUGAGCGAAUCUCGGAAAGCCGGUCUCAGUUCGGAUUGGGGUCUGCAACUCGACCUCAUGAAGUCGGAGUCGCUAGUAAUCGCAGACCAGCAACGCUGCGGUGAAUACGUUCCCGGG
rnacentral:rRNA from 1 species